rnacentral:rRNA from 1 species
AGAGUUUGAUCAUGGCUCAGAUUGAACGCUGGCGGCAUGCCUUACACAUGCAAGUCGAACGGUAACAGGUCUUCGGAUGCUGACGAGUGGCGAACGGGUGAGUAAUACAUCGGAACGUGCCCGAUCGUGGGGGAUAACGAGGCGAAAGCUUUGCUAAUACCGCAUACGAUCUACGGAUGAAAGCGGGGGAUCUUCGGACCUCGCGCGGACGGAGCGGCCGAUGGCAGAUUAGGUAGUUGGUGGGAUAAAAGCUUACCAAGCCGACGAUCUGUAGCUGGUCGGAGAGGAUGAUCAGCCACACUGGGACUGAGACACGGCCCAGACUCCUACGGGAGGCAGCAGUGGGGAAUUUUGGACAAUGGGCGAAAGCCUGAUCCAGCCAUGCCGCGUGCAGGAUGAAGGCCUUCGGGUUGUAAACUGCUUUUGUACGGAACGAAAAGCCUCUUUCUAAUAAAGAGGGGUCAUGACGGUACCGUAAGAAUAAGCACCGGCUAACUACGUGCCANCAGCCGCGGGUAAUACGUAGGGUGCAAGCGUUAAUCGGAAUUACUGGGCGUAAAGCGUGCGCAGGCGGUUUUGUAAGACAGAGGUGAAAUCCCCGGGCUCAACCUGGGAACUGCCCUUUGUGACUGCAGGGCUGGANUGCGGCAGANGGGGAUGGAAUUCCGCGUGUAGCAGUGAAAUGCGUAAAUAUGCGGAGGAACACCGAUGGCGAAGGCAAUCCCCUGGGCCUGCNCUGACGCUCAUGCACGAAAGCGUGGGGAGCAAACAGGAAUUAGAUACCCUGGGUAGUCCACGCCCUAAAACNAUGUCAACUGG